GAGUUUGAUCCUGGCUCAGAGCGAACGCUGGCGGCAGGCUUAACACAUGCAAGUCGAGCGGAUGUAGCAAUACAUCAGCGGCAGACGGGAGAGUAACACGUGGGAACGCGCCCUUCGGUUCGGAAUAACUCAGGGAAACUUGAGCUAAUACCGGAUACGCCCUAACGGGGAAAGAUUUAUUGCCGAAGGAACGGCCCGCGUCGGAUUAGCUAGUUGGUGAGGUAAUGGCUCACCAAGGCGACGAUCCGUAGCUGGUCUGAGAGGAUGACCAGCCUCACUGGGACUGAGACACGGCCCAGACUCCUACGGGAGGCAGCAGUGGGGAAUAUUGGACAAUGGGCGCAAGCCUGAUCCAGCCAUGCCGCGUGGGUGAUGAAGGCCCUAGGGUUGUAAAGCCCUUUCGGCGGGGAAGAUAAUGACGGUACCGCAGAAGAAGCCCCGGCUAACUUCGUGCCAGCAGCCGCGGUAAC
rnacentral:rRNA from 1 species